CCCUAACUACAUGUGGCUAAUGGCUACCUUAUUGGACAAGCAACAGUGGACAAAAGAUUGGACAAAAACCUUUGUAUUUUUGUGUACUUUCCAUGUAAGUAAUUAAAUUCAAGUAGGACAACAGUAUUCACUGUACUGGCUCCAUCACUGGCAAAGGACAUAAAUUCAGGUAAGAUAGAAUGAUUUGCUAAGUGGCAUAUAAUUUAGCUUGCUAUUUUUAUAAGCUAUUCUUAGAUUUUCAAUUAUCAGGUAAAAUCCAUAACUCAAAAACCAUGACAGGUUUUUUUUUUUUUUUUUUUUUUUUUGUCUUUUUAAGGCUGUAUCUGCGGCAUAUGCAGGUUUCCAGGCUAGGCGUCGAAUCGGAGCUGUAGCUGCCAGCCUACGCCACAGCCACAGCAAUGUGGGAUCUGAGCCGUGUCUGCAACCUACACCACAGCUCACAGCAAUGCCGGAUCCUUAACCCACUGAGUGAGGCUAGGGAUUGAACCUGCGUCCUCAUGGAUGCUAGUCAGAUUCGUUUCUGCAGAGCCACGAUGGGAACUCCGAGGUUUUUUUUAAAUGCAUGUGAGCUAUUGGCAGUCCUUUGGGACCCUCAUCAGUUCCCCUGACCUUCCUUUUAUUCAUCUAUUCCUGCUUCACUAAGUGCUCCCUAAAGUCUAAAUGAUGGGAUUUUCUCUUUUCCCUCUUCUCCCCUGAAUGCCUCAUCUUCUCCAUCACUGACCUGACACUGUGUUCUCCAGAAAUGUAAAGUAUUUACAUUACUGUUUAUCUUAACAGUAUUGUUAGUGGAAAUGGGAUUCCGUUUAUUAAUAAGGCUGACCUCGUAUCGUCUGAGACAUUUCAGAGUGUAGGAGUACGAAGUUAUUUAGUUAAAAAUAUAAAGCCAGAUUUUUUUAGCCUACAUUCCUAACACCCAGAGGAAACAAUGUGAUUGAUACAGAUGAGCAAACAACUCUUAAAUUAAAUAAUUGAUUAUUUGCCAAAAAAUGACAAGUUGGCGGGCAAAGCCAUAUUUGGUAGGUAGGUGGGAAAGCAAGAAGGGGUUGACUGCCAAGGCUUGGACUCAUGGGGAGAGAACAGUGGGAUGGGAACAUAUGGAGCCUGUUUUAAAACAAAAUUUUAGACAGGAAUGCAAGUGUGAUAAACACGGUGGUCAGGAGAGGAAUCACUGGUAUGUACACAGCAGAGUAGUCUACAGAGCCUGUGAGAUGCUUCAGACAAAUUUAAAGCCUCAUCUAGAGGUCCCCAGUUCAUUGUUCUUUAUCUUGUACCACAUCUUUGCUGUAAAAAAUUUGAAAGUGGACAUGGGUGAGAUAAGCAAUAAGCCAGAGGAGUUUUAA
rnacentral:lncRNA from 9 species